GAUUUGCAGAAGGAGCUUCGGGCGAGACGGCGGCCAAGUUCCUUGGAAUCGGACGUCGAAGAGGGUGAGAAUCCCGUAUCCGGCCGAUCGUCGAGCCCAUGAGAAGCCCUUUCGACGAGUCGAGUUGUUUGGGAAUGCAGCUCCAAGCGGGUGGUAAAUUUCAUCUAAAGCUAAAUACCUGCCAGAGACCGAUAGCGCACAAGUAGAGUGAUCGAAAGAUGAAAAGCACUUUGAAAAGAGAGUCAAACAGCACGUGAAAUUGUUGAAGGGGAAGCGCUUGCAACCAGACUCGCACGCGGGGGCUCAGCCGUCCCCCGGGACGGUGCACUCCCCCGCGAUCGGGCCAGCAUCGGUUUCGGCGGCCGGACAAAGGCCCGGGGAAAGUAGCUCCCUCGCGGGAGUGUUAUAGCCCCGGGUGCAAUGCGGCCCGCCGGGACCGAGGACCGCGCUUUUGCUAGGAUGCUGGCGUAAUGGUUGCCAGCGACCCGUCUUGAAACACGGAGA
rnacentral:rRNA from 1 species